GACGAACGCUGGCGGCGUGCUUAACACAUGCAAGUCGAACGGAAAGGCCCUGCUUGCAGGGUGCUCGAGUGGCGAACGGGUGAGUAACACGUGGGUGAUCUGCCCCUUACUUUGGGAUAAGCCUGGGAAACUGGGUCUAAUACUGGAUAGGACCAUGCUGUAGGUGGUGUGGUGGAAAGAUUAGUUUCGGUAAGGGAUGAGCUCGCGGCCUAUCCGCUUGUUGGUGGGGUAAUGGCCUACCAAGGCGUCGACGGGUAGCCGGCCUGAGAGGGUGGACGGCCACAUUGGGACUGAGAUACGGCCCAGACUCCUACGGGAGGCAGCAGUGGGGAAUAUUGCACAAUGGGCGCAAGCCUGAUGCAGCGACGCCGCGUGGGGGAUGACGGCCUUCGGGUUGUAAACUCCUUUCAGCCAUGACGAAGCCCUUGUGGUGACGGUAGUGGUAGAAGAAGCACCGGCUAACUACGU
rnacentral:rRNA from 1 species